UACAGAGGGGGCAAGCGUUGUUCGGAAUUACUGGGCGUAAAGGGCGCGUAGGCGGCCUGUUAAGUCGAACGUGAAAUCCCCAGGCUCAACCUGGGAACUGCGUCUGAUACUGGAUGGCUUGAGUUUGGGAGAGGGACGCGGAAUUCCAGGUGUAGCGGUGAAAUGCGCAGAUAUCAGGAGGAACACCGGUGGCGAAGGCGGAUCUCUGGGCCAUUACUGACGCUGAGGAGCGAAAGCGUGGGGAGCGAACAGG
rnacentral:rRNA from 1 species